CAAAAGAUAGUUUAAUUUAAAAUUCUAGUUUUGGAGACUAGUGAUGUGAGUAGUUUCUCUCUUUUGA
rnacentral:tRNA from 1 species